rnacentral:rRNA from 1 species
GACGAGCCACACGAACGUUAUUCGGAAUUACUGGGCGUAAAGCGCACGUAGGCGGAUUGUUAAGUCGGGGGUGAAAUCCUGGAGCUCAACUCCAGAACUGCCUUCGAUACUGGCGAUCUCGAGUUCGGGAGAGGUGAGUGGAACUGCGAGUGUAGAGGUGAAAUUCGUAGAUAUUCGCAAGAACACCAGUGGCGAAGGCGGCUCACUGGCCCGAUGACUGCGUGAGGUGCGAAAGCGUGGGGAGCAAACAGG